rnacentral:rRNA from 1 species
AAGGCCUACGGGGCGCAGCAGUGAGGAAUAUUGGUCAAUGGGCGCAAGCCUGAACCAGCCAAGUCGCGUGAGGGAUGACGGUCCUAUGGAUUGUAAACCUCUUUUGUCGGGGAGCAAGGCCCGCCACGUGUGGCGGGAAGGGGAGUACCCGAAGAAAAAGCAUCGGCUAACUCCGUGCCCGCAGCCGCGGUAAUACGGAGGAUGCGAGCGUUAUCCGGAUUUAUUGGGGUUAAAGGGGGCGUAGGCGGAAGGUUAAGGCAGCGGGCAAAUGUCGGUGCUCAACACCGGCCUGCCGUUGGAACAGG